rnacentral:rRNA from 1 species
UACGAAGGGGGCGAGCGUUGUUCGGAUUUACUGGGCGUAAAGCGCACGUAGGCGGCUUCGCAAGUCGGAUGUGAAAUCCCGUGGCUCAACCAUGGACGUGCAUUCGAAACUGCGAAGCUUGAGUAUGGAAGAGGGUCGCGGAAUUCCCGGUGUAGAGGUGAAAUUCGUAGAUAUCGGGAGGAACACCAGUGGCGAAGGCGGCGACCUGGGCCAAUACUGACGCUGAGGUGCGAAAGCGUGGGGAGCAAACAGG